GCAAAUUAAGAGAUGCACACGUACCGUGUGGAACCUCCCGUAAUGGGCUCUCCCUCUUCUGCAUUCAGAGGGCGUGGCAUGUUGGUUAAAGCAGGAAGAGACCGACUGGGCAGAUCCAUCAAAGGCAAUGGAAGAGAGGCUGAUGAACCUGCAGCAUAGUUAUUAUACUUUGAAUUAAAGCUUUACUUACAUGAUAGCAAUACACAUAGACACCUCUCUCUCUCUCUCUCUCUCUCUCUCUCUCUCUCUCUCUCUAGUUAUUCAAUUUGGUUGAUUUCUUUCGACGUCAACCAAUUCUAAAAAUGGACGGUAAACAAUCUAGUUUGCACGCAUCAAGAAUGCCUCAACCAAUGGCUUCCAAAGCUAGUUAGAGUUGAAAUUUGCCAUGUGGUUCAGACAAAGGAUCUAGAACGCCUCUGACCAAGCACUUGACUGAUGCUAAUUAUGUAAACUUAUCGUCGACAAACUUUGCUCACCGGAAACAUUAACCAUCUCAGGUGAUAGAGAACGCCUUCCACAAAAAAGCUCCAGAAACAAAGACCAGACACGAUCAUUGCUUAUUUUCUGUUCCAUAUUGGCCGAUUAAACGAUUGAAGCGUUUUAAGUUUCUCAAAGAUAUAGAAGAUCUGGCAAUUUCAAGUAGAUUGCACGCUUAAAAUCCUACAAUAGAGCGUCACGAGUUGCCACAGAGUAUUCGGACAGGCCACUGCAUUGCAUAACGUGGGUAAAAGAUGAACGUACCAGGAGGAGGACUGGAGCUUCGGUCCAGUUGCUAAUCUCUGGUGUCGAUUUGGUUCUUCAGCCCCUGAUCACACCAAAAUAUUCAUGGCCGGGGUUCAACUCGAUCUCCCUCUUGAUCUCGAUAACAUUCCCAUGGAAAUUUGAAGCGGUGUGAUCCGGCGAGAGAUGAGAGAAGAAAAUAGGAAAGACGAGAGAUGAAUCCACCCAAAAGUAAAGAAAACCCUAGAAACC
rnacentral:lncRNA from 1 species